CCUCGCGGCCGCUCGCGGGACUCCGGGUCGCUCCUCCGGGCACGAGAAGCUCGGAACCUAGGAAAGACAGGGGACCUGGCGUCCGAAGGGCUGGGGCGCGGGCUGGGCUGGCAGAAGGGGGAUGACCACGGCUCCCGGUAUGGAGAUCCUAGAGUGAAGUCAGGCCCUCCCACAGGGACCAAGCGCGGUUUUAGGUGCUGCUGGUACAGCCCUGGACGGAACAGGCGACACCCCCGCUCUCCGGGAGCUUUCUGUCCCUUGCAUUGCCCUGUGAUGGCCCGCUCUCUCGGGGCUCGACGCUGAGGCUGGAGAGGCUGUGGUCGGCCCCAGGCCACACAGCUGGGAAGCGGACUCACUGAGAUGAACGCCCAGCCACCUACAGCGUCACAGCGCGGUCCUUCCCUCGGUGCCUCGGAGAAGGGGUGAGCGGGGCGGACACAGCCGGAGACUAGGGCAGGGUGCUGAUACUGAGCGCAGUGCGUGGGAAUAACCGAGGAUGCAUAAACGGGUGGACAAGACCCAGAAGCAAAGGGACAAGAGAACACAAGACACAAAAGUGGGGAAACCUGAAGCCACUCCCCAGCGUUGUGUGCGUGGCUGGGCAAACCCGCUGAGCUUCCAGUGCUGUCUCAGUCCAGUGGGGACCCGCAUUUGCUCUUGGCCUCUUUAUGGGAGACUCAGAAGAGUCAACCGUUUCUGUUCCCAAGUUUGACAAGGUUCCGUGGCUGAGCGACGCCAGCCUCAGAAACAAGCCCCUACUCCUCAGCCUCCCCCAAAGAUACCCUCACGCCGCUGCCACUUUUCUGAUUUCAUACAAGAAGGAUACGAAUUUGCCCAGUGUGUUUCAAGUUCCAGACGACUCAUUGCAGGCCCGGAGGAAGCCGGACUACCCGGCGCUGGUCAGGAGCAGGCAGCUGUGCGCCUCGUGCUGGGAAAUGAGAACGGCACAGCCGAGGGCCACCAUGAUCCCAGACGAGCAGACGCUUUCCUUUGAGGCUUCCGUGAGUCGCAGGAUGAAGCGUCUUCAGCCACGGAAAGCUCAGACGGCACCCAAGAGUUCCCAGGAUGACAUCUCAGCAGGCUUUGGGGUUUGGACUAGAACUCCACCAUCGGCUUUCUCAGCCUCCAGCUUGCAGACGACAGAUGGUGGGACUCCUCGGUAUCCAUAAUUGCAUGUGCCAGUCCGUCGUAACACCUCCUUCCGAGCUGGUUCUGUUUUCUGGAGAGCCCUCCCACAGUGCCGGGCAGGGAGACCCAGGUGGAGGCCGCGAGAGGGUCUGGACCCCACGUUCCUGGAGCGAGCCAGCAGCGGCUGCCAUUCCGCGACCGCUUCUGGGCCCGAUCCCCGCCGUUAAUGUGUUCAUGUGGAUCCCACUCCCACUCUGUGCAAGUCUGUGGGCGCUGGUCUUUCCCAGGCAACUAACUGGACUUGAAGCUCCUUCUCCACUUCGUCCCUCUGAGAGGUAGUCUCGUUAUAGCUUCUCCUUUAGCGUUACACAGACAGUCCUCACUGUGUCUGAAAUGAAAUCUCUGUGUCUAAAGGUAACGAGAGCCAGCCGUGGCUGGUGUGGCUCAGUGGAUCGAGCGUGAGCCUGCAAACCACAGGGUCGCCAG